ensembl:lncRNA
AUUUUUCAAUCACCCACGUGUUUAUAACCAAUGAGGAGAUGGCACGUGGGUACCUGCUUCUAUAAACCAAUGAGGAGGUAGGAGAGGCAGGACUUGCAGCGCGAUCUCCGUCAGAAAUAGGAAUGACUUCUACCGUUGGCGCGUGUGAGCAGUGUGGGUGCAAUAAUUGAAUAACAUGGAUUUCUACAUUUAUUUUGCGACGCUCGCGCACACGACGUGUCCGGUCUGGUCAGCAUGUAAGUGGUGAUGUCCCAUCCUUUCAGGUUGUUGGACUGAGGUAGGACUAAAUAGAUUUAAAUAGUGGAGUAGGGUGGUGUUAUUUUGAAUUUGUGAGUGUAGUGUUAGAUGGUAGAGUAUUAUUUUUUAAUUUUUUUAAGCAAAGUAUAAGGGCGUUAUACUCCAAUCUAAUAGGGGGCGGUAAUGCAACAUUUAUUGGAUGCCAACCGCCUUUAAACCUCAUCAAAGAAGAUCACAACCGUAAUGUAGCAUGGGUAAAUUGUGACUGACUGAUAUACAAAUAAUAAGGAGUAGUUAUUUCUGAUGGAAGGUGAUUUGUAGAUCAGUUAUUCGGCUGCACUGUCGCGCAAGCCCAUAUCUCCGGUUGAUGAGAUCUAGGCGUGCCGCAUUUACUCGUCUAGUCACGAUUGAGGAACCGUCGACAUAAAUUAUCUGUCUUCCGUUUCACGGACGCUGUUGAAGGUGUUUAACUAUGUCUCCAAGAGAUAUAGAACAACAGACAUUUGAUAUUAUUAGUUGCUUCUUUGAAGAGGAGCAGAACCCAGUAUGUAAUCGGAAGGUGUACCGAGACAUUGAGUCUGAUGGACCUGGCGAUGAUGACGAGUUUGACCCAGUUGUAAUAGCUGAUAAACUGAGGGAACUUGGAGAUGAUUUUGAUGUUAAGUUUAUCCAGCCUCAUAUCAGAAAACUCCAACAAGCAGUUGCAGACAAGGUGGUGGAGGAGUUUGCGCGUACUGUGGACAGCCUGUGUGCAGCCCAGAGAGCAGAGGUGGCCCCUGAGAUGCAGCUGCUGAGGGCCUCCAUGGCCCUGGGUCUGUACGUUAAGAAGACCUGUCCUGACCUUAGAGCCACCAUCCAGUCUUGUAUGACCGCCUUCAUUAACACCCGGCUGGCUGGCUGGAUCACCCAGCAGGGAGGAUGGGUGAGUACCAAAAAAAUACCCAUGAAUUAUGUAAACCCUCGGGACAUGUUCAGGUAUGUAUUUUAUGACGGGGUUAUUGCAAUGCUGCCUGGGCCUUACUGGCAUUUACAAAGCAUCAUUGCAGAUGGUACAGGAAACGCUUAGUCACAAGAUGACAGUGAGCAGCUAUUUGCAUGGAGAAAAGUCAUCUGUUUUUAGCUUCUAUUUGCUACGUUACAGCCUUGUUCUAAAAUAGAUUCCAUUUUUUCCCCCUCAGUCUAUACACAAUACCCAAUAAUGACAAAGCAAAAACAGUUUUAAAAAAUAUUUUUUUUUAGCAAAUUUAUUAAAAAGAAAAAACUGAUCACAUUUACAGAAGUAUUCAAACUAGUGAUGCACCAAUAUGACAUUUUAGGCCAAUACAAUAUCCAAUAUUUUCGUUGCCAAACAAAUGAUAACGAUAACCGAUAUUUACAAUUUUAGCCAUCUUUUAAGCAUUCUAGUACAGUUAAAUAGUUAACACACACACACACAUGGACGCAGUGGUCUAAGGCACUGCAUCUAGUUAGUUCAUCUAAGCUAGUUCAGAAGCUAGUUGGCUCCUUUACUGGCAAGUCGUUGGUGUUCAGCUAACCACGGUUUGUGGUCAUCGGCUAUCCUUUGGCUCGAAAGUCUAUCGCAGUUCUGUACGGCGCAGCGCGGCUCGGAGCGGAGCAUACCGGACCAAUUUUUCUCUCCAUGUCCCUGGAUUUCGACUGCUCUCUGGACAUUCAUGCCCGGAUCUCACAGCUAGCUAGCUGCUAUCCGUGUGACUAUCGGCCUUCGUCGAUUCCGGAGCAAACAUCAAUUGUUCCGGAGCUUGCAAGCUCCGUCAAUCACUCCUGAGUUCCAUCAAUCACACCUGGGCUGCAGUCACCUAUCCGGACCCGUUUUGCUGCCUUCGCGGAGCCCCACCGGGCCUUCACAACUGGACUGCCGACGUUAUCUACCCGAAGGAGAUCCGGCUGGCUCCUCCGUCGCGACGUUACCUGAACGCCCAUCUGCGGCCUGCUAACCGUUAGCUGUCUUACCGGCUGCUAUCUGAAUAGACAAUCGGACAAAAAAAUUUUGUAUUUUUUUAUUAUUAUUAUUAUUAUGUUUUCUUCUUGGGCCUCUAUAACUAUAUCUAUUGUUUUUAUUUUUGUUGUUGUUGUGUGAUUUGGAUUGAUCCCCUCUACCACACGGAACCCCACUAAUCUACUGACGGAGCGCAGGAGGUGGCUAACAACAGACCUCCAUCCUAUGUUAGCUUGCUACCGAUGCCCUGGCUAGCUGUCUAAAUCACCAACCAACCUCUCCACUCACCGGACCCUUUUGAUCACUCGACUAAGCAUGCCUCUCCUUAAUGUCAAUAUGUCUUGUCCAUUUCUGUUCUGGUUAGUGUUUAUUGGCUUAUUUCACUGUAGAGCCUCUAGUCCUGCUCACUAUGCCAGGUCGCAAUUGUAAAUGAGAACUUGUUCUCAACUUGCCUACCUGGUUAAAUAAAGGUAAAAUAAAAAAAAUAAAAAAAUACCUUAUCCAACCUAUUAG